rnacentral:rRNA from 1 species
GACGAACGCUGGCGGCGUGCUUAACACAUGCAAGUCGAACGGAAAGGCCCUGCUUGCAGGGUACUCGAGUGGCGAACGGGUGAGUAACACGUGGGUGAUCUGCCCUGCACUUCGGGAUAAGCCUGGGAAACUGGGUCUAAUACCGGAUAGGAGCCAUUUUUAGUGUGAUGGUUGGAAAGUUUUUUCGGUGUAGGAUGAGCUCGCGGCCUAUCAGCUUGUUGGUGGGGUAAUGGCCUACCAAGGCGGCGACGGGUAGCCGGCCUGAGAGGGUGGACGGCCACAUUGGGACUGAGAUGCGGCCCAGACUCCUACGGGAGGCAGCAGUGGGGAAUAUUGCACAAUGGGCGCCAGCCUGAUGCAGCGACGCCGCGUGGGGGAUGACGGCCUUCGGGUUGUAAACUCCUUUCGCUAGGGACGAAGCUUUUUGUGACGGUACCUAGAUAAGAAGCACCGGCUAACUACGUG